GGGAUAUUGCCUUGUUGUUUCCAGCGCUUGACUGUGGAUUACUUCCUGAACCAGCGGAAUUCGUGGAUUUAAUAUUGGCGUUCCGCUACAAUGUGUGAAAAACUAAGUACAACGAUACUGCUUUUGUAGAAAAUAAGAGGCUAUGUAACAGACAUGUGCUGCUACUCAAAUGCCCUUGAUUAAUUGAUCAUCAGUAACGGUGAAAACCUCUAUAAAAAAGGUGAAGAUUCAGCAGUUUGCUGGUCUGGAGUAUAAGUGUGCCGUAACGCAAUGCCAAGGAGGAAAGACAUCAGCAAUGAUCUUAGAAUCAAAGAAAUACAACAGUGGUUAGAAAUGGAACGGGUCCCUCCACCAAAAUUGUAAUGGCUGUAGGAUAGAGCGGGGCUUAACCCCAAAACAAAAUAAGGAAUGAGAGAAGUACUAAAGGGUAGCAGAUUAAGAAGAUCUGCCCCCUAUAAGACCUUGUAUCCUUUACUGAAAAG